rnacentral:rRNA from 1 species
AGCGAACGCUGGCGGCAGGCCUAACACAUGCAAGUCGAACGAACCUUUCGGGGUUAGUGGCGGACGGGUGAGUAACACGUGGGAACGUGCCUUUAGGUUCGGAAUAACUCAGGGAAACUUGUGCUAAUACCGAAUGUGCCCUUCGGGGGAAAGAUUAAUCGCCUUUAGAGCGGCUCGCGUCUGAUUAGCUAGUUGGUUGAGGUAAUGGCUCACCAAGGCGACGAUCAGUAGCUGGUCUGAGAGGAUGAUCAGCCACAUUGGGACUGAGACACGGCCCAAACUCCUACGGGAGGCAGCAGUGGGGAAUCUUGCGCAAUGGGCGAAAGCCUGACGCAGCCAUGCCGCGUGAAUGAUGAAGGUCUUAGGAUUGUAAAAUUCUUUCACCGGGGACGAUAAUGACGGUACCCGGAGAAGAAGCCCCGGCUAACUUCGUG